GUACUUGCUUCAUCAGUGCAUAUGCCAAAGUUGGAACCAUACAGAUAAAAUUAGAAUGGCUCUUGUGCAAAAACGACAUGCAAAUUUGUGAAAUGUUAAAAAAAUAA
ensembl:snRNA U6 U6 spliceosomal RNA